rnacentral:rRNA from 1 species
UACGUAGGGUGCGAGCGUUAAUCGGAAUUACUGGGCGUAAAGCGUGCGCAGGCGGUGAUGUAAGACAGUUGUGAAAUCCCCGGGCUCAACCUGGGAACUGCAUCUGUGACUGCAUCGCUGGAGUGCGGCAGAUGGGGAUGGAAUUCCGCGUGUAGCAGUGAAAUGCGUAGAUAUGCGGAGGAACACCGAUGGCGAAGGCAAUCCCCUGGGCCUGCACUGACGCUCAUGCACGAAAGCGUGGGGAGCAAACAGG